rnacentral:lncRNA from 1 species
GAAAUGUUAAGCCCUAUAAUAAAAACGAGAGAACAAUGAGAGUCUGGAAUCUCUGGGAAGAGGGAAGGAGCUCCUCACUCAUCUUCCUUGUCUACCCCAACACGGUGGCUCGUGUCCAGGACACCCCGGGGCAGAAGCUGGAGCAAUGCGAGAAGUGCUGUGUGGCCCAAAGGACAGAUGUACGUAUGCUGUGUCAGGGAAGUCUCUGGAGACUUCCUUCGUUAGUGGAUCCCACACUGGAUCCUCGGGUCUCUGGGAAAUGAUGGGGCUAGAGGUACAAGGCUUGGGAGCUGGGAAAUGAGGAGCAUAACUUACCGGCAUUGUGAGGUGAGAGCAUUCGUGACUUUUCAUUUUAACUUCUCGUUGUUUCUCAUUGUCAAGUGUCCCUCUUUCUUAUUUUUGUCUUGGUGCUUACAAGGAAAGACGUCAGUUUUCAUAAGCUUUCAAAGAUUUACAAUAUUUUUUAAAAACUGCCUUUCAGGAUUAGCAUUCAAGGCCUCAAACACCAUAUCUAUCAAUCAUAAACCGUACCCUCAAACCCAGCUCUGGCGAUAUCAUCUUAAAUCACUGCAGGUCCUACCUGUGGAAACCUUAUUGUGCACAGUGACAGCCGUUCCACGUUCCACAGGGCCAAGUGUUACACAGCAACUGAGCGGAGCUCCGCAGAGUAAAACCAGCCAUAUUGCUACAAAGAAAAAUUUCUGGCUCGUGGCCCAACUGUUUCCAUACCAAUCAGCUAAGUCAACCUUCUCUCUGCUUCUUUCCAUUUCAAAUGCUUGGGCUUCAGCCUCUGAGGCAAUUAGAACCAGAUCAGUUUAA